ensembl:lncRNA
CAGACACUUACAGUACAGACCCUUACUGUACAGACCCUUACAGAACAGACCCUUGCAGUACAGACCCUUACAGUACAGACCUUUACAGUACAGACACUUACUGUACAGACCCUUACAGUACAGACCCUUACUGUACAGACACUUACAGUACAGACCCUUACAGUACAGACCCUUACUGUACAGACCCUUACAGUACAGACACUUACAGUACAGACCCUUACUGUACAGACCCUUACAGUACAGACCCUUACAGUACAGACCCUUACUGUACAGACCCUUACAGUACAGACCCUUACUGUACAGACACUUACAGUACAGACCCUUACAGUACAGACCCUUACAGUACAGACGCUUACUGUACAGACCCUUACAGUACAGACCCUUACAGUACAGACCCUUACUGUACAGACACGUACAGUACAGACCUUUACAGUACAGACCCUUACAGUACAGACCCUUACUGUACAGUACAGUAAUUCUCUGCUUUCCUCAUCUGGCUUCUCCACUCAAACUCAACUACAGGAAAUUAUUGAUAUCUUUAGUUAUUGUAAAAUCUAAUAUAAUGUCUAAUAUAUCUAAUGCAUAUUCUGUAAUGAAUUAUAGUAUUUGCUUAUAAAAUGCAUCUUUCCUUCCUCUCCUUCCUGAAGCAAUGGCUGAUCUGAUCUGACUUGACUGGAUCUUUGUGAACAGAGAGUGGAAGGGAUCAUUUGCACCCAGCUCCUCCUUGUUCAGUAAUAAUUUGUCAUCCUGUAGGAAAGAGGAAAGAAAUGUGAUUCAAUCAAAUCGCUGAAAAGAAGCAUCAUGUUAUAUACAGUAAGUAUUGUCAUGGCUGGAUUGGGUUGGGCUAGGUUGGGCCAGGUCGGGCUGGGUUGGGCCGGAUUGGGUUGGGCUGGGUUGGGCCGGGUCAGGCUGUGUUGGGCUGGGUCGGGCCAGGCUGGGUUGGACCGGGUCAGGCUGGGUCGGGCUGGUUUGUGCUGGGUCGAGUUGGGUUGGGCUAGGUUGAGCUGAGUUGGGCUGGGUUGGGCUGGCUUGGGCUGGGUUGGGCUGCCUCGGGCUGGGUUGAUAGUAUUUCAUAAAAACAGAUCAUUCUCAGGUCUGAUGUGCUGAGGCAGUGGGCCAGGUAUGUGGGGUGUAGGCGCGUAUGCGUGCGGUGUGUGACUGUGGGUGAGUCUAUAUCUCUGCUGAACUGACAGAAAUCUCACUGAGGAGGAUUGUAGUAGUGAGAGCAGCGAGACAGGGACGAAGAACUCAAAUCACUUGCAUGUGAUUUAUGGAUGUUAGACACCCCUACUGUCUCUCUCUCUCUCUCUUUCUCUCUCUAACGAGGAGUUCUCGGAGAAGAUUUACUCCUUUUUAUCUCUCUAGUGACACAUCUCUCAUCAGUCAUCUCUCAUCAGUCCAUCCUGUCUUGCAGUAGAGAGAAUGGGAGGGGCAGUGACAGUUAGAAUGCAUUCCCUGAGGGGAUGUACACUGAGAGGUGGCACUCAGCGCACACACACACGCAUGCACACGCACACACACACAAACACACACUGAAAAGCAUGAAAACAUGCACUCAACAAACAUUUUCCAAAGUACACAGUGUCUCCAUUCCUCUCCACCCCUUCCAAUCUUCUGUUCGUCCCUCCCAUCAUAUCCUGGGAGUUCAUCCCCCCUCUCGCUCUGCUGAUAGUGAAGGUCACACAUAAACACACCCAUGGCCUUUAACUUUGUAUAUUUGUAUUGUUUCAAAUGGCUCCUUCUUCAUAUUUCCAUGUAUCCAUAUUCACCUUUUCAGUCUGAUUUUUUUAGAGACAAUUCAUAAGCUAGGCAUUUCUCGAAACUACUGUUUGUGUGUUCUGUGAUAAAUUGCAUUACCAUAUGGUGCCACACUGAUUCCAUUCAAGAUGAUGUGGAAUUUACAUUGACAUUCAUUUUCAAAUAACUAGAUAAGUCAUCCACAUAUCUCAUAGUAACUAAAAUGUUCCCCAAUAAAGUAGUUAUCGGUCACGACUUCUGCCGAAGUCGAUGCCUCUCUUUGUUCUGGCGGUGCUCGGCGGUCGACGUCACCGGUCUUCUAGCCAUCAUUGAUCUAUGUUUCAUUUUCCAUUGGUUUUGUCUGGUCUUCUUACACACCUGGUUACAAUCUCAUUCAUUAAUUGUUGUGUAUUUAACCCUCUGUUUCCCCUCAUGUCCUUGUCAGAGAUUGUUUAUUGUUAUGUUCAUGUUUUAUGGAUUGGUGUGCGAUGGGUUCUUGUACCCACAUUUAUUUGAUUAUGGACUUUGGUUUUGGAGUUUGUUUUACGUUAUUAAACUACUCCAUUAUACCAGGUUUGAUUCUCCUGCGCCUGACUUCCCUGCCACCUACACACACGAUAUGACAUGAUCAGUAGUUAUCAGGGCAGGAGGGGGGUUAUCAG